CAGAAAUCAAGUAUCAGGUGAGGAAAAAGCUGUUUUAAAGGAAAAAUUGAGCGACAAUACACAAGGCUAAUGAGUAUAUUCUUAUUCUGAAACACGGCUGCUUUUUGAGACAACUGGGUGAGCGGGAACAGGGAUCAUGAGGUGCUGGUAAACACAGCAGAGAUGUCAGAUCAGUGUAAUAAGGACGGGGGUGAGCUCUCGGUGUGUUUUGUAUCACUAUCAAAAGGCCAACAUAUUCUUUUCACAGAAUUUAUAUUUUAUAAUAAGAAAGGAGACAGAUUAAAGACACCGAAGAGCUUUUAACUGAUUCGGUUGUAGUCAAGAGUCGUUUUUUUGUUGUUGCAGUGUUGUUAUUGAUGGAGGAACUACAAGCAGGGCUUUGCGAAAGAGCUAAGUGACUAUAAACAAGAUAUAAAGCUUAUGCCAACACAACAUUCGAAUACUUCAUUGCCUUUUGACGAUAAAAGAGUUGAACUGGGUGCAUAUUUGAGUUAUUUGGACAUUUAUUAGGACAUUUCAGCACACAUUCAGACACGGGCUGUGGCUGUGCGGCUACGAAAAGGGUCCCUGUGAUCCAAGUGCAGUAAAAGAUUAAAUUCAAAGAUGUACAUAAUGUCUGUAAAGCUCCAUGGAUUAAAUAUACAAAGACUGUAUAAUCCUACUCAAGUUGUCCACCAUCUGUAAGGGAAGGGUUCAGAUCUGUUGUCUUUCUCAGGUAAGCAGCCUUUGCAUAAAUGCUACUAGUGAUGGGGGUUCAGGCUCCUUUUUACCCACCUUUUCUGCCCCCAAACAUCUCUCAGAAGCUGGUCUUUAGAGCGGAGGAUUUUGUGAAUGAAACACACUCCUGGCCUGAGUUUACGGCACAGGUCCUGCUGUGAUGUGAAGUAGGCUAACAUGAAAUUGAUAAUAAUAAUGAGUCAAAGGUUUAGAUUAUAUAUGUUGAACAAAUGUACACAUCAAGUUAAUAAAAUGUCAAGCUGAUAAUUAACUAUUUAAAGGCAAACAGAUGUGUGUAAUGAUACCACGUAAUGCUGUGUUAAGUCAGCCUAAAUCACUGUGGGGGAAAUGUCCUUAACAGUCCUAGCUGUGAGUAACAAGUUACUCAACAACAAAUCACGAAACUCCACCCCAGUUCCUGGUAACUAGCAAUGGAUCCAGAUACUUUUCAGCGACAUUCAAGACAUCUCAAUGAUGCAAUGCUAAGGCACAUCAUCAGUGAUGUAACCAGUAAGGUUAUCAACUGAUCUGGGUCUUUCAGUCAUCAUACUACCUCACCUAGAUUACCCAACCAGCCAUGAUCAGAUCCCAGCCUUUGUAGCAGCCACACAUGGAGCUUUUCUCUUUAGUCAGAGCCAUCAAGUCUCCGUCUCCUGCUGGUGAAGGUAAUCACUCUUUUACCUUCGAUUCAGUGAUACCUGAAGUUCUGUUUUGGUUCCCCAGAGAGAUUGGUUUACUAAGCCCCAACGCCAGACCAGGUGCAGCUUGUGUUAACUUAGCAGACCAAAAACAACAAAGGAUUAAUAUAAACCCCCUCCAGAUCCACAAUUUGUAAGCCUGGAAGGACUAAACGGACUGAUUGCAAAGUAUGUUGGUGAAGACAUGUGUCUGGUAUCAGCUGCUGAGUCUAGUGCUACUAUCAAAAUAAUCAAUGUGCAAAAAAGAGAGGGAUGAGAGGUUGGAAACAUUCAUGAGACUAUUAAAUCUAACAGAUGUAACUUGAAGGUAACUUCCUCGGGUAGCUUUAACUUUAUUAUAUUUUGGCCUAGUUAGUGAGUUGGUUACUUUUUUCUCCCAGUUGACAUAUUAUGCACCAAAUCAAACACGUUAGCAGUCUUUUUGACAGCUCUGUUCCAUUCAUUAAUACGUUAAGACAACUUAUCAAUUUUUGUGUCUCUUCUUCUGAUAAGGUCCACGUUUUUACAUCAGUAUGUGGUGGAGUUGGUGGGAAAUUUAGCUUUUAUCUCAGCAACAGAUGAGUCAUUUCAUAUGGAGCCAUGGACCAUGUGAGAUCCUUAUAGAAAAAUGUUCAUACAAAAACUGCCAAUGCAGUGGUUCAUCACAAGAAAUUUAAUUGAAAAACUCUUUAAUAUUAACUAAUUAUUUAAAAGGAUAUUCCGGCGUAAGAUAAAUUUAGGGUCAAACACACCAUAACACCUAGUUAGGCACACCCUCAAGAGAUGAAUGUUGCCAACCGCUUGCUUCUCUAGUAAUACCAGCUUUAGUAACAACCGAAGGCGCGCAAUACACAGCGGUUUGAGGAGCCAUGAACAAAUCUCAACCAAAACGCCUCUCUAUAGCCACAAAUAAUGCUUAGAACAGCACCUAACUUCAUCAACAGUACAUUUAGGGUCCCAGCCACAACACUAGCCAUCAAACAUCUUUUUAACUCUGCCUGAUUUCUUUGGCAAAGAGACUAAACACAACUCACCCACUCUCUUCCAGCAGCCGCUUGUUUGUAGCGAGACCUCGGGCCAGUCCAUUACGGACUGCAGUGGGGUGCUGCAGCUCAAGAAAGAACAUUUAUGAUCAUUUCUUCAUGGAAAUGCAAUCAGAGGAAAUGAUAAAGUAAUGAUCAUAAAUGUUCUUUAUGAGGUGUGUCACCACCGCUGCAGUCUGUAAUGGAUUGGAUCACUACAAACAAGCAGCUGCUGGAAGAGAGUGGGUUAGUUGUGUUUAGUCUCUUUGCUAAAGAAAUUAGGCAAAGUUAAAAAGAUGCUUGGUGGCUAGUACUAUGGCUAGGACCCUAUAUGUUCUGUUGAUGAAGAUAGGUGCUGUUCUGAGCAUUAUUUGUGGCUAUAGAGUGGCUUUACACCGCUAUGUAUUGCUAUCAUGCGUGUGUUUGACCGUAAAUUAAUUUUACCCUGGAAUAUCCCUUUAACACUUUAAUAAGUAUCUUUGCACAAAAACAGAGAAAAGGAAAAAAAGAAAGUACAUGACUGAUAGUUAUGAAAACACUUAAAACAACACUUCAGUGUAAAUCAACAGCAUGCAGUUUUUACCCCCUCUGUUUCCAUUACAAUAAUGUAAGUUAAUAUUUGUCUUCUUUCAAGUCCUGAAGCUUUUUGGGUGAAGGGUAUUCUGGGACCAGCUUGUUAAGAGUAUCUGAGCGAGAGCUUCUGCUAAGAGCUCCUUCUGCUUGGCAACACUCAAGUGUGGAAAUCUUAGCAUCACUUUUCUUAGAAACGAGCUGUGGAUGUGGAUCAUUAUGAGGACUAAGAGCCCAGAGUCUCACUAUAGGCUCUAUCAGAGUGUACAGAGGCAAAAAGCUGCAUGCUAACAAAGCAUGCAAACAUACUCGCAGACGGUGCUCUGUAUGAACUCGCAGAAUUGACCAUGUUCGGUGAACUGGGCAGCUUAAUUUGUGACCUGUGAACACAACAUUUGUGAACAACCACUCACAUUCAGGGAAGAUCUGUAAGGGAUCAAAAGUUGCUCAGCACUGUGUUUUAUGGCAGCCAAGUUUAGAUUUAUGUCACCAUGUAUUCAGUGUAGAUGCUGCAGGGUAACAUUACAAAGCAGAUUUUCUCGGGUACUUGGAUUUUAAAGCCUGAAGCUUUAUCCAGAUAUUAAGCAUACAUAUUAAAGCUAGAUGAAUAUUUUUAUUUUUUUAGAGCUACAAAGUUUGGUCUUAGUCUAAGUUGUAAAAAACUCGAAUGGGAUUUUUCUUGUCUUUUAAUCAUUCCGACUUAUCUUACUUUCUUGGCUUAUAUAUACCUAUGAUUCUAUUUUAGUAUACAGACAUUAAUGUACUCUGACCCUAGACAAUGAGGUUUGCUCCAAGCAGGCUUUCAGGGAACUGCAGUUUUGUUUUUUUUUUUACCACAUUUGCAUUGGCCGAGACUAAGACUCAAGGUUACUGCUCUGUGCAACCCACUGCAAGACUUUACUUCAUGUUGUGCUGAAGCAUGUGACAGAUUUGUACACACAAGGACUGACAUGAACUGGUGCUAAUUUAACAGCAAACGACAACAACAAUGACAACAAAAACAGAAGAUAGGGAAAAAUUAUUUGGAUUACAUUUGGAUUCAUCAGGAAGCAAAUAGACAAAUUAGUUUGAGAUAAUUAGUUAGAUAUUGUAAGAUUAUCAGCCCGUUUUGUUGUUGUUGCUAGGCCGACCAAUUACACUGCAGUUUGCAUGUUUUUCACACACUGCAGCUGAAUUUACAUUGUACAGCUCAUAAAACAUCAUAAAACGUAACAUGACACCUCCUGCCAGGGCUAUUACAUAAUCCUGCAUGUUACUCUAGUACUUUAAUGUACGCUUUGCACCCUUUAUACCUUAUGUGGAAAUAGUGUUCCUUAAUGAUGAACAUCGAAUAUUAACGAACACUAAAUAAUAGCUGCAUGUUUGUGUCACCAGAGGACUGCUGUCUGUAAUCGCAGACUUAAAAAAACUCACUCCUUAUGAAAAAUGGAUAGAUAUGGGAUUGACUGUUUGGCAGCCUGUGUAUAAUGAAGCUUCUCAGUCAGACUGCAUCUACAGCAGCUUGCAUGUGGCCUGCAGGGAGUCCAGGAGAAGUUCAGAGAGAAUUAAUGUGCAAGAUGAUUGUUUCUUUGGCUGCUUCACAAAGCUGAGCCCUGAGUGCGGCUGGUAGCUCUUCAACACGAGCUCAGAGGGCACAGUGAGUGUUUGAUCCUUCUCAUUGCUAUGCUAGAGAGACUUAGAGGACAACAAGCUUGUGUCUAAUUUGCAUUGCAGCUAACCUGAAGGAAGAAAGGGGAGGGAAAUGUUAUGAGGUAUUAAAAUGGGCAAGAGAAGAUAGCUCAUUGCCAAACAGGGGAGGGGACUUCUUUUGCAUCAACAGUCAGUGAUACAUUAUAAUGUGCUUCAUAAAUACCCACAAAAGGUGCCUUGUUUAAAUCUUAAGGAGUAAAUAAAAUAUGAAGUCCAGAGUCCUCUACAGAGUGAAAUUGGAGCUUAUCUGCUUUUUCACCUGCAGAAUAUCCAAGAAAUUCAGGCUGAGCUGACAGCACAAGUAAUAAAAUCUGACCUUUAAAAGCUCUUCCCAUCACUAAGGGAAGAUUAAAGUUGAAGUCACCACAAUUCAGAGUCUGCCUGGCUGAUACUUUGGUUUCCAAGACACCUCAGUGACUCUGUUCACUGUAAUCAGUUGUGUCAAAGGCACAAACGAAGCAAUAAAGGAAGAGUACACACCAAGGUUAGCUUGUUUGUAUGAAGUAUUGUACCAGUGCCAGUGAAAGUCACUCUUAGUCACUCAGGUAGUUGUUGAGGGUUUUCUGCUUGAGUAUGUCUUGUUUGGUGAAGUGUUUCAGCAAACAGAACAGAAAGUGAAGAUGUGAAAAAUACACAGUGUAUCUUAGUAAACUUACAAGGAAUGUAUAAUGUCAAAUAUGGACCCCCUGUUGAAAUAGAGUAAUCAGAUGUAUAGUAGAUUUACAUUGUGUCAUUACUAUGUAGGUUUGUGAUGACAUCCUAGUGUGGUUUGACCUCUGACAUGCAGGUGGCGCUCAAGACUCACGUCAGACUCAAAGGAAAGAAAGUGAAGGUGAAAUCUAAAGAGAAAAUCAUCUUUUGUAGUUGACAAUAAAUUGAAUGCCAUUCACUCUACGGUAGCCCUGAAGGUCAAUGGCACAGUUUAUUACAGAAAGGCAAAGGAUUAGGAUAGAAGGACAGAAAUUCAAAUAUACACAUUUCUGUAUUCAUGUGAGAUAUUUUCAUGCUUUUUGUAACAUUUUCGUGUUUUAUGACAUGUUUUUCUUUUCUGUCUUUCAAAUAUAAUUGCCAUUGACCUUCAGGGCCACCAUAUAUAUUUCCUGAUACUAUGCAGACAAUUUCCUGCCAGUUAACAUUACAAACCCCAAAGAAUAACGAGUAUGAUGAUGACUAAGAUAAUGGAGACAGGAGACUCAUUUUCAAGACGAGAGCAGAGAACAGUGUUUAAGUCUGCAUCUCUGCCCUUUUGCAGAUGAUGGGCCAUCACGGGUUGUAUUACACUGUGGCUUGUGCAACAUAUUUUGGGUGUCGUGAUCUGCCUCCAAAGACUCAUCUCUCCCAUCCACCACCCCCUUCCUCUGACCGGGAAGAUUUCACAGAGGGAGGGUCCAGCAACCUUGGGAGAUUUUGAAGGCAAAACUCGAUAAAGUUUUUAGAACAUUUCCAGUAAGCCUGUGUAAAAAAAGGAUGUGAUUUUACCAACUUAACAUGUUAGCUGGCCUAUAAUGAAUGACUGAAUACUGCUGUAUGUUUAGCUGCAGGCAUUUGGACUUCCAAAGAUUCUGAUGUUAGAUAGAAACUCUAAAGUACAGGGAC